CUCCGCGGCCUGCCAGCAGGGGGCAGCCGCACGUCUGAGUCCCGAGGCCGGCUGGAACCGGUCUGACCGGAAGCUUGGGCGUGGCCUUCGCUUCCGCUGCAGCGCGCCACGUGGCGGAGUGGGGUGAAGGGAAGCUGUGAGAAAACAACAAGAUGGCCGCACGGGGGAGGGGUGCGUCGUCCGCGCCCUUGAGGCAGCGACUGCGGGACCUCCGAGCGGGCGUUGUUUCCUGGAGGGAGCGAUUAGGUCCGCACGUACAGCAGAGCAAGGCCUACUAGGAGCCCGGCCAAUGCAUUCUCCCACCGCAGCUCCUGCACGGUCUGCAUGCUCAGGCUGCGGACUGGGUCGCCGGUUCCCACUGGCAUUCCGAUUCCCGGGGACAGCGAAUGUGGCAGAGGCCCAACUUCUGGGUCUUUGGUUUUUUCCCUUUAUUUUUAAUAUUGCCGUUGAACUUGAAUAUAGUUUCUAGUUUUAGUAAGAGAAAUGCACGUCUGUUGCUAUGUGUUAACACGGGAAAUAAAGCAGAACCUCCUGGCGUUCCCAGCGGUUCCUGGAAGGCCCGCCCCCCGCCCCCCAUCCCUGCCCAGGUCUUUGGAGGUCCACUCGUCCCAGCCCCACGGCGUUCGUUUUCCUUACCUGGCUUUGGGAGGCGGAGGAGCUAGAGGGAAGAAGAAAGUUAACACUUACUUAGAAAAUGAUGGCGUGUUUAGAAUAAGGUAUUUGUCGCCUUGGAGCUGCGAUUUAAGUUUCUAAGGACUGGCCAAGAACAAGGACUUCUACCUUGUCUCUCACACUCCUCCCAAAAUGUAUGCCUUGCACAUGGCGAGCACUCAAUAAAUAACUGCUUCAUGAAUGAAUGAAAGAACAAGUUACUAAGAAGUGCUCUUGGAGGACCUCGUGACUUAGUGGGGAGACAGCCUGGAUGCUGUGUGUCAUGCUCAUGCCUCAGACAGAAAAAUCCAAUUCCUCUUGUCUCCUGUGAGUCCUCAGAUUAAAUUUGCUGAAUUUAGCAAGUAAAAAUACAAGUUACUCAUUAAAUUUGAAUUUCAGGUAAACUAAAAAUAACCAA